rfam:Moniliophthora roreri MCA 2997 sctg_0279_0001, whole genome shotgun sequence.
GGCGCUAUAGCCAAGUGGUUACGGCGACAGAUUAGAACCCUUGCAUCUCAUCUCUUCCUCUUUGAGGGCGCAGGUUCGAAUCCUGCUGGCGUCG